CAGGACGAACGCUGGCGGUGUGCCUCAUACAUGCAAGUCGAACGAGAAACUGACUUCGGUCAGUGGAAAGUGGCGGACGGGUGAGUAAUAUGUAGGAAAUCUGCCCUAGAGAGGGGGACAACAGAGGGAAACUUCUGCUAAUACCCCAUAUGAGCUUGGUUGAAAUACCAAUCUUGAAAAACUCCGGUGCUCUAGGAUGAGCCUGCAUCUGAUUAGCUAGUUGGUGGUGUAAUGGACCACAAAGGCGACGAUCAGUAGCUGGUUUGAGAGGAUGAUCAGCCACAAUGGGACUGAGACACGGCCCAUACUCCUACGGGAGGCAGCAGUAGGGAAUUUUGCGCAAUGGGGGAAACCCUGACGCAGUAACACCGCGUGAAUGUUAAGCCCUUCGGGGUAUAAAGUUCUGUCAAUGGGGAAGAAUAAACUGACCUGUACCCAUAACGGUAAGCACCGGCUAACUCCGUGCCAGCAGCCGC
rnacentral:rRNA from 1 species